rnacentral:rRNA from 1 species
AACGUAGGACACAAGCGUUUAUCCGGAGUUACUGGGCGUAAAGGGCGUGUAGGCGGACGUGUAAGUCUAUUCUGAAAGCUCCUGGCUAAAACUGGGAGAGGCGAAUGGAGACUGCAUAUCUAGAGUGAGGAAGAGGAAAGUGGAAUUCCGCGUGUAGUGGUGAAAUGCGUAGAGAUGCGGAGGAACACCAGUGGCGAAAGCGACUUUCUGGUCCUUAACUGACGCUGAGGCACGAAAGCGUGGGGAGCAAACAGGG